CUGCUUAUCAAAAAACCAAACACAGCUCCUGUUUGCUGUGAAUGAGCAGAGGCAGGCGGGGGGGCUCCCUUUUGAAGGCCCACAGCUAAUGUUUGUUUGAAGAGAGAGGCGGCGGGGGGAAGGGUGCGCUUCUGAGCGGCUGCUUAUCUGGUCUGUGA